GACACAAAGAAAAAUGUUAGCAGCCCCCUCACCCUCAAGCUAUCCUAUGUGUAUGUAACUUUCUUCCUUUAGAAGAAUACAGUCAGAGUCCGAGCCUUUCAACGGCAGCGAAUGGUGGUUGAGAUCUUAAAGCAAAGUAAAGUACAUCCAUCAAUCAUUACACAGGCUCCAAAAAAACCAAAAAAAACCCCAAAUCUCUAGCUUCUAUUAAAUGCUGUAAGCACCUGCACGAGAGCGUGGCGUUCCCAUCGUAACAUAUACAUGUGGAACGGCUUGAAUGUGAGGAAAUCAUGGGAGCGUUUUCAUCUUUGGGUGUACCUUUACAUCAACAGGAAAGCUUGAAACACUGGUUCACCAAAAAAACUGUCUAAAAUGGACUGUGGCAUCAAAAUGUUGGGGAAAAUUAAAGCAAAAGAAAAAUACCUAUAUUUAAUUGUGCCUUUAUACAUGGUUGUGAUUUGUGACUAGAAUUGUGAUACUUUUUUUAACAAAAUGUUUAGAAAAUGGUGCUCAUGUCCUUACUUUGAGUCAUUUUUACUCCAAAUAAAAUGACUUUAGUCGAUGGAAAUAUCGUAGGUUGGUGGUUUUAUCCCUUUAGCAAUUUUGUUGACUAGAUUAAAAUGGUACACACGUUUUCAUCAGUCCAAAGGAAAAAAUGGCUUACGAAUCGUGUCGGAAGCAAUCAGUAGCGACACGUAUUUGACUUAAUUUCAUAAAUGGACUGCAAUGUAACGAUUUAACUACAAUGUAAAAAGCAAGUGUCGAGCAUAAAAAUUGCUGACUUUUUCUGGCCAAAACCCCCUCCAAAAAACAGGUUGAUCACCUUUUUCUUCAAAAGGACAUUCUCAGAAUCCAAUUGGGGUCAAAGCUUGCAGAUUCAAGGAAACAGGCAUGUUUUCAUUGAAGUAUGACUGAAACCAAGUAUUGUUUUGUAUUUUUCUAUUUGUGACUAAAACUAUAUAGCUGUUAGCUUAGCAAUAUGCUAAUAUAAGACGGCAGAAAUUUGUCGUAAGGGUAACUUAUCUGGGCUCACUUCAAAUUUGAUAGGUAUAAUAUUUUAGAAGGUAGAUGAAUAGAUAGACAGCAGGUAACAGUAGCCAGCGAGGUUUCAAAAACAAAGCUAAUGCUAACACAACACCACCUACAUACAUGCUAGUGCUAGUUUUCAGUAUAUACACAGUCCUUGGUGAGAUUCUAACAGUUCAAUGUAA